AAAGAUACACAAGCAUAUGCAUUAGAGUUGCAUGAGUUUCUUCACUGGUAGCCUACUCAGGAUUUCUUCUUCCACAAGUUCCAAAGGAAGUGACGGUAAUGAUGCUAUGGUUCCGGUGGUGCCAUUGCUGUGUAGCUCCAUUCUACCUAAGUGAUGCACUGAUGAUGCUAGGGUUCUGGUGAUGCUAAGUGAAGACUUAAGAGUCGUCGAUUGGAGAAGAUUGCCGGUUUUUAUAUGACAUUAUGACGGCAUAAUAAUAUAUGGCUAUGGUGUAGUUAUGAAAAACAGGGUUUAUUUAUCUUAAGGUUUGGGUUAUUGUAAAAAAAGAAAAAAAAGAAAAAAAAGUAAGGUUUGGGCCGGUGUUUUAAAAACCGGACCGGACAUCGAACCGGCGAGGGUACUGUGUCACUGGUUCAUUGGUCGAACCACUGAAUUACUGAUCGAACCGCAAGACAAACCGGAUUAAAUUGGAUUAAACCGGUGUAAUGAACCGGUCUCUAUAUAUAUAGUUAUUGAACCGGUAUAUAGCAAAACUCUCAUAAUGGUAAGAUAGGAUAAUAGGUACCAAACAUUGUUACAUAAAUAACCAUAUGCAUCGGAAUGGCAGGCUGACUAAAGGUAUUAACUCC
rnacentral:lncRNA from 1 species